AAUUCACCAGUUUCUUAUCUUGUGACUCGUCUGGCUCCCUAUGUUAAGGGGAAAAUAUUUGUCCUUAGUGAAUGUGGCGGCAUAAUUAGGAUGGAUACACAGCCUUUCGGGUCAACUUAGGCGCAAGCUUCAAGACUGCAUUUGCUUCAGCAUGAUUUCAGAGUUCCAAUGCUUCGCUUCAAGAAACCUUCCUUGAAAUGUUUCAAGUCCCGGAUAGUGUCUCUCUCCUCCUGCAG